AAAUCAUUUAUGAAGACUAGAAAAUCCCCAUUUCUCGCAGCACUUAUUUUUUCAGGAAUCUGCGGAUGCCUAUCAAGUGUCUUUAUGUACAGUGCCUAAUUCAGCAGCUUGAGAAGGAAGAUGUGAGAAAGCUCCAUCACGUUUGCUUUGCCUUCUGUUCACUGUAGUUCUCUCACUGAUUUUAAGUAAUAUUGUUGCAGCACAGAGAGAGUCACAGACUGAUGAAUCAAACUCCUACUGUUUGUUCAAUACGAAGGAUAUAUGAAGCUUUUUUGCUGAUAAGUUUUCUCUUUGAAACAACUUAUUUCCAUUCUUGAUUUUGCAAAUAACUUAUCGAAUAACAAGAACCAUACUUUUGUCACUGUAGUGGUUUCUGUAGAAGACUCUCAAGUAGAGAAAUCUGAAGUUCUGACACCAUAAAUCCUCAUGCUUCUGUUGUUCAUGUCCUCCCCAGUAACUGAUGUUCCCUGAUGUGAAAUGGGAUGACUGGUGUGGAGCAUGUUUCUAAUUUGUCUCGUGCAAGAGUUUUGUGAGUUACAAGGUCAGCAUGACAGAAAAAGGUUUCUAUUCUGCAUAUCCCAUGACCCAUCAGAUCUCUUCUAGUAUUUACAGGUCCCUUGUUUGCCUUUGCCUGGAGCAUAUGUGGAGCACUCAGACAGUUGGAUAUGAAUGGACCACCAUCCAAUAUGCAGGAACCACCAGCUCCAAGGCAAGCAGGUCCCUGGCUGCAGCAGCAUCCUUGGCAUUUGCACUCUAUGAUGAUGAACAUGGCAAGAGAAAAAACGAAUGCGAUGGGACCAGUUUUAAGGAGAAACUGAAACCUGAGAAAGCAUUUUUCUAAG
ensembl:lncRNA